GCUGAGUGUGGUGGCACUGGCCUGCAGUCCCAGCUACUUAGGAGGGGAGGCUGAGACUGGAGGAUCAUUUGAGCCCAGAGUUCUGGGCUGCAGUGCACUAUGCCGGAUGUCUGCACUGAAUCUGGCAUUGAUAUGGUAACCUCCCAGGAGCAAGGGACCGCCAGGUUUCCUAAGAAGAGGUGGACUAGCCCAGGCUGGGAACGAAACAGGUCGAAGCUCCCGUUAUGAUCAGUAGUGGGAUCAUGCCUGUGAAUAGCCACUGAACUCCAGCCUGGACAACAUAGCCAGACCCCGUCUCUU
ensembl:misc_RNA Metazoa_SRP Metazoan signal recognition particle RNA